rnacentral:rRNA from 1 species
AGGACGAACGCUGGCGGCGUGCUUAACACAUGCAAGUCACGGGGGCCCGCAAGGGUAACCGGCGAACGGGUGCGUAACACGUGAGCAACCUGCCUAGAUGUGGGGGAUAGCCGGCCCAACGGCCGGGUAAUACCGCAUACGGUCACGAGGAGGAGUCUCCUUGUGAAGAAACCUCCGGGGCAUUUAGAGGGGCUCGCGGCCUAUCAGCUAGUUGGCGGGGUAACGGCCUACCAAGGCGACGACGGAUAGCUGGUCUGAGAGGACGAUCAGCCACACUGGGACUGAGACACGGCCCAGACUCCUACGGGAGGCAGCAGUGGGAAUCUUGCGCAAUGGGGGAAACCCUGACGCAGCGACGCCGCGUGCGGGAUGAAGGCCUUCGGGUGUAAACCGCUUUCAGCAGGGACGAAAUUGACGGUACCUGCAGAAGAGGCCCGGCCAACUACGUGCCAGCAGCCGC